ensembl:lncRNA
GGUGGUUUCAAGGCUUUUAAUCAUCUCUCCUCCUUUUGUGAACAUGCGACAGGACGAAGUCAAUCAGCACGAGCAACGUUCAGUUGUUGUUGUUUGUUCCGUUCAGUGAUUUCCAUAACCAACAUAAAGAUAAAGAAAGUGCAAUACACGCUUAAGGAGCAAUCGGAAGUUCUGAUUUUGUUUUAACUGCUUAUAUUGACUAUAUAAAGACCAUUUAAAUACUUAAAGUGCCAAACAUCACACACAAUAGGACACAUUGAGAUCUGAUCAUUCAGCAGUAAAUAGGAGAGAGCGACCUUUGACCCUGUGACCCUAUGACCUAUGGACAAAGACUUCUACAUUCCUGAUCAGUACAACAAGCAAACUGCAGGACAAUAAUAUAAACAUGAUAAGCAACUAUAACAAACACAACUUGAGUCCUGAUCACACGUGCACUAAUACUAUGUCACACUCAGAGACACUCAGUGGGUGGAGUGGGCCUGAAAGCUGAGGGCUGAGGGGGUUUCAGGGUGUGAGGUGACUUUAAAAUGGUGUGUGUGUGUGUGUGUGUUUCAGGGUGUGAGGUGAGUUUAAAAAGGUGUGUGUGUGUGUGUGUGUUUCAGGGGGUGAGGUGAGUUUAAAAAGGUGUGUGUAUGUGUGUGUGUUUCAGGGUGUGAGGUGAAAAGGUACUUCAGAGGGUCUAGAAGGCUGGGGAAGGGACCUUACAUGGGUUUUAAAAAGCGGAGAAAUAUGGUUAGCAUUAUUAGCAUUAUUUAGACAGGGGAAUGUAGGACUGGCAGAGAGAGGCAAUUUUACUGAUGGGGCAUACGGUGGUAGGAGUAGAAGGGUUGGGGUAAAAGGUUGUAAGAGGGGUAGUGUAAGGUGACCAGAUUUCUGAGACAAAAUCCGGGGACAAUUUCAGUUCAGAUACGUUACCCCUCCAAAACAUGUAAACGUUUGGUCAUUGUUUUCUUUCUUUCUUUAAUUUGUAUCCCGGGUCUGUCUGUGAAAACCGGGGACAUUACCGGGGACAGCUCCAGCCGGGGACAGGCCACCAAAAACCGGGACUGUCCCCGGAAACCGGGGACGUCUGGUCACCUUAGGGUAGUGGGGUUGGGGUAAAAAGCUGUAAGAGGGGUACUAGGGUUGGUUUGAGACAGGGGUAUUGGGCUGUUUGAAAGGCUGUAAGAGGGGUAGUAGGGUAGAUUUACGUAAGUGUGUUUAAAAACAAUCAGAGGCAUUAGAUGCGUUUAGAAAUCAGGAAGAAGGGAUAUAUGGGGGUGAAAAGCUGAAAGAAGAGUUAAAGGGGUGGUUUUGAAAGCUGAGACAGGGGUAAAAGGGUGGUUUUAAAGUGGAGGCAGGGGUAAAAGAGUGGUUUUUAAAGUUGAGACAGGGGUAUUAGGGCAUGCUUUGGAUGGGGAGUACAUUCACAGGAGUCUGCACAGGGCAGGGUGCAGAGGAGGCAUGACAGAAAGAGUUCACCAGACACACACACACACACACACACACACACACACACACACACACACACACACACACACCCUAGCUCUGCUCUGGCACAUCUAUAGAAAGUUGGUCUUGAGAGAGCGCAGGAUCUGGAGGCCCCUCUCCCACGUCUGCGGCGCUCGCUGCGGGGCCUCACUGCUCAGGUACUGAUGUGUCUUCUGUCUCCGCCCCUUCUGACGCCCCUGGGGUAAGAGAACGGAGCAGAGGCAGGG